rnacentral:tRNA from 1 species
CAAAAAAUAGUUUAAAAUAAAGAAUAUUAAUUUUGGAGAUUAAAGGUAUAAAAUUUUUAUUUUUUUGA